rnacentral:misc_RNA from 1 species
AGAAAACAAAAAUCCGAGAAGCGGAAUUCUGUCAAAAUUGAACUCAGGCGCCUGACUCGGUUUCGAGCGAAAAUUUCCGAUAAAUUUUACAAAAUCCACCGUAGCCUAUUUACAACUGAGAUUUACCUUCAAAAGAAUUCAAAGCACACAAAAUCUGUGUGGUCUUUCUUUCCUUUUCUGAUAAGCUUUUCCCUCUCAUGCGUGUAUAUAUGCGUGCAGUCCAUUAGAUACCCAAAUAUCAAAUAAGCUGUUUCGAAAGCUCAAAUCUUUAUGAUUCAAUGGAGUUUUCUCUCUCCUAGGUUUUUUUUUCCUUAGGUUCCUGGUAGAUUUGGCGAGUGAGUUUCCUCUUUCAUAGGUGCAAGGGAGUAGUGGGAAUUCACUCUCUCUUUCGUUUCUAGCUCUGUUAUGUUGCAAAAUCGAUAAUUGGGAAUUUUGUUGUCUCUUAGAACUUGAGAAUUGGGGUUAGAUUUUGAUUUUAGUGGUUUAGGGAUUUGAGCUGAUUCACAAUGGCCUCCUAUAGGCAAUUUCCUCCACAAUCCACAUUCCCGCCGCCCCAACAACCACCACAACAGCAACAGCAGAGACCUAAUCAGUAUACUCAAAACUACUCUCAAAUGGCUCCAACGCCAGCUGCUUCUUCCUCUACAUUCCCCCAAAACUACCCCCAAAUUCCUACUCAGCAGAAUUUCUCGCAACAUUAUCCUCCUCGACGUGCCCAACACCCUGCCCCUCCACCACCACCUCACCAACAAUAUCCGUAUCAGCCUCCCCCACCUCCCCCAGCACCAGAAUCAUCAUAUCCACCUCCACCUCCGCCACCAGCACCAGCCCAACAGCAACCACCACCUUCUAUGUACUACCCACCAUCACAAUAUUCUCAGUAUGAUCAUCAGCCAUUGCAGCAGCCAAUGCAGCCACCUCCUCCGCCCCCACCCCCUUCAUCUCCUCCUCCUAGCUCUUCAAUACCACCCCCGCCACCCCCCAGCUCCCCACCCCCACCUCCUCCUAAGGACAGCGGCACAGCAAGAGAUAAAGUGGGGCCUGAGGAAAGGAGGCAACAUGGGCAUUCAAGUCACAGUGGUGUAGCCAAACAAAAGAUGCAGAAGCCACCAGUUCCACCUGGGGGGAAGAAGGUGAAUGGACCAACCGGGAGGGUGGAGACAGAGGAGGAGAGAAGGUUGAGGAAAAAGAAGGAGUUUGAGAAGCAAAGGCUAGAAGAUAAGAAUAGGCAGCAGUUGAAAGAAUCUCAGAACACAAUUCUGCAAAAGACCCAAAUGUUUACUUCUCAGAAGGGGCAUGGUUCCAUUGUUGGGUCACGAAUGGGGGAUAGGAGGGCCACUCCAUUACUGGGCGGGGAGAGGAUUGAGAAUAGGUUGAAGAAGCCAACAACAUUCUUAUGCAAAUUGAAAUUCCGAAAUGAACUUCCUGAUCCAAGUGCACAACCAAAGCUCAUGACCGUGAAGAGAGAUAAAGAUCGAUUUACAAAAUACACAAUCACAUCAUUGGAGAAAAAUUAUAAGCCCCAACUGUUUGUGGAGCCAGAUCUUGGGAUACCACUUGAUCUGCUUGAUCUCAGUGUCUACAAUCCACCUAGUGUUAGACCACCUCUUGCUCCAGAAGAUGAGGAAUUAUUGCGUGAUGAUGAUGAAUCAGUUACCCCUGUAAAACGAGAUGGCAUUAGAAGAAAAGAACGACCCACUGAUAAAGGUGUUUCUUGGCUGGUCAAAACUCAAUACAUAUCUCCUUUAAGUAUGGAAUCGGCUAAACAGUCUCUUACUGAAAAGCAAGCAAAAGAAUUGCGAGAAAUGAAAGUAGGCCGUAACCUUUUGGAGAACCUCAAUAACAGAGAGAGUCAAAUCAAGGAUAUUGAAGCAUCAUUUGAAGCAAGCAAGCUGCGCCCUAUCCAUGCAACCAAUAAAAAUUUAAAGCCUGUUGAAAUUCUACCAUUGCUACCUGAUUUUGAUAGGUAUGGGGUUGAUGCUUUUAUAUUGCACCUCGUGAAUUAAUCAGUUCCUUGUAGUGUGUCAUUUCCAGUGAACUUAAAUGUGAUGCUUGGAAUGCAUGGAACAAGUUUCUGAAAAUUUAGGAGUUCCUGAUGAAGGCAUUGGCUGAUGUCCUGCUAAAUUAUACAACUAUUAAAUAGCAUAUUGUAUUGCAUUUAGGUAUUAAACUUUGAUUGGAUACUUUUUAUGCUAUUUUAACAGGUAUAAAGAUAAAUUUGUCUCUGUGACAUUUGAUAAUGCUCCUACGGCUGAUUCAGAAACCUAUAGCAAGUUGGAUCAAUCUGUUCGUGAUGCCUGUGAAUCACAGGCUGUUAUGAAAGCUUGUGUGGCAACAGGCUCAGAUCCAGCUAAACAAGAAAAGUUUUUAGCAUACAUGGCCCCUAAUCCUAAUGAGGUAAAUACUUAUAGUCUAGAAUUCCAAAUAUCAUAUAUCCUCAUCACCAUUGCAGUUUUGAAACAUUACAUUUUAUAUUUCAAUGUUUAUAACUGGCAUAUUUAUCUGUUAUCUAUUAUUAUAGCUGUCAAAGGAUAUCUAUGACGAAAAUGAGGAUAUCUCAUAUAACUGGGUUCGUGAGUACAACUGGGAUGUAAGUGCCUCAAAUUUUUUGGGGUUAACAUAGCAAGCCAGCAUUAACUUCCCAAUGAAAAAUUUCUUAUUGACAUGUCAAACAGGUGCGAGGUGAUGAUGCUAAUGACCCAACAACAUUCCUUGUUUCAUUUGAUGAACAUGCGGCUCGCUAUGUGGUAGCAACCUGAAUUGGAUUCGUUAAUUUUUAAUCUGUCAACAGCUCAUUUCUUCUUUGUUUUUUGUUACCAAUUGCAUGCUUUUGUUUAGUCAGUAUGACUUGCACUUUUUCUCAUCAUGCUGCAGCCUCUUCCCACAAAGAUUAAUUUAAGAAAGAAGCGAGCCAGCGAGGGAAGAUCUGCUGAUGAGGUAGAGCAUAUUCCAGCACCAUCAAGAGUAACAGUGAGGAAGAGGCCAACUGCUGCUGCAAUAGAAAUCAGGGAUACAGUGAUUAAUUCAAAUUCAAAUUCAAGGGGUAAUAUCCUGAAUUCGAGGAUGGGAAUGUUAGACGACGAUGAUGGCCUUGGAAGAAUGCAUAGAGUUGUUAGAGACCAGGAUAUUGACCAUUCGAGUGGUGCUGAAGAUGACAUGUCUGAAUGAUUGGUCCUAAUGCAAAUGCUGCAACUAGAACAAAGCAUUCGGAAGUUUACAGACGGUGUGGCAGGUGACUUGUAGGAAGUUAUUUAUCGGGAUGUUGUUGUGAAAUAAAAAGAGGUAGAAAUAUUAUCCCCCGUGUACAUGCCAACCAUCCGACAUAAAUUUUCAGGAUGUAUCCGGUUUUAGCAGAUACAAGUUUUUUCAAUACCAUAAAAGGCAGAAAGAAUGAAUGGUGUAAAGGAAUAAAAAAAAAAAAGAAUACAUCAAAGCGUCAACGGUUUGAUGUCAUGUAAACAUCUUAAUAUAUAAAGCAGUUGAGAUAUUUGUUUCUUUUUGUCCUCUAACCUUUGUUGUGUUCUAAAAUUAUCUUGUUUCAUAAGAGUUUUUUGUCUUACAUCCUAACAUCCUCGAUCUACUGCCAGAAUUGCCAAAUGAAGCUCACCCUCUCGUUGGAUACAAUCUUUAAAGGAAUGAUAAUGCUAUAGAACUUUUUCUUUUAUAAUUGAUGCCUUCUUUGAUAGCCAUUCAGCAUUCAGGCGUGAUGGUUAUGCAUCUUUCAUGCCACAAGGAAUGGGUAUCUUCGUUGCUUAAUAAUGUAAUUUACUGCAGGUGAUUUUGUACCUUAAACUAUUUUUGCAGUCAACAUGUACAUCAAUAAAAACUUGGGGAACCGUAUAAGAGGAAAAUUGCAGUUGUCUUCAUAAAUUUUACUGUGGAGACAUGGUGAACAAAAACAUAAUCAUGUCACCAGAUUUUUCUGGCAGAGCCGGCCUGAGAAUGCUUGUGUUCUUCAGAAAUGAAGACUUCUUGAUGCAAUUGAUGCCCAUGCUUGUCGGCACCUAACAGCUUCUUGACGAACAGCCCUCUUUGGAUCAUCAAGUGCUUUAGACAUUGCUUGUAAUACCUGAAAAUGAAUAGAAGUCAGAAACGCAGAGGUUGAGAAAACUAGUAUCAUGUCAAGCAAAAGACUGAUAAUUAGUUAUACUGCUGUUGUCAAAAUUAUCAAUUUGCUUGCCCCAGUGGCCAAUGGGCUCCACCAUCAAGUGGCAUGAUGCAAGUUAAUCCUCUCGAGAUAUUGGGUCAGUUUGUCCCAUAAUUCUCUCGAGAAAUUGCGGCAGAUUGUCACAUAGAAGACGCCAAGAAUUGAGUUAUCAAAGAGGUGAAAAUCAUAUCCCUGUCCAGUGUCACACCUUUCCAGAUAAUGCAAGUAGCAAAAAAUACACCUAUGGAAGUGUUAACCAACAACAUGGUUCAGCUAACCUGGAUUCUCAACGGGUAAAUCCUUGUGUGAGGGAGUUCUGACAUGGCAACAAGACAUUGAAUAGCUGUCUCCCGGACAAGCAUCAUAUGAGGGUACGCAACCAGUUCAAUUAGGCACUUAAUGAUAAUAUGAGCAUUCUCUACGAUAGCUUCUUUUCCAUUUUUAUCUGUCAGUAUUCCUGAUAAGACCAGCAAGAGACCAUACAUGACAUCUUUAUCCAAAACAUACUUGCAUAACAAGGCUAAGCCCUCCAGCAAUAACGGAAUUAACUUCUUUGCAUCAUUCAAGACAACGAUUAGUGGAAUGUCGGAGAUAACAUGAGCAAAAGCUCGAUACAGCAUAGAUCUCGAGAAUGAUGAAUCGGCUUCAGUUAUCAAAGGCUGCAGGAUAGGCAUCAAGCUAGAGAAAAACCGUUGCUUGUAAAGUGGUCUUAUUAUUGCAUGGAAUUUACGGUUCAAAGAAAGUUCAGAAUCGCUCAUAAGAAUUUGAAAUGCAUCUGCUGAAGCUUUCAUCACAGACUGAUGCACAUCUUGUUUGAAACUGUUUUCUGAGGAGCCCUGUUUCAAUGGCAAGGUACCAAUUCCACAAUCCAACAAGCACUUUAUGAAAACCAUAGUUAUGCUUUUAGCCUUUUCAUGGCCUCGCAUAAGCAAACCCUUCCCAAUCCAUGCUAGUCCAACAAUGACAUUGAUUUGUAGCAAUUCAUUGUUUGGAGCAAAUGGGAAUAAAUUAGAGGAACUGAUCUCAUCACCCUUGCUUGUUCUACCAAAUCCCCCAAAAGGACCAUUUUCAAAAUAACUCAAUAAAUUUGCGCUAAAAAUUAUAUCAAUUGCUUCUUCUAAGGUGCAAGAACAUGAAAUACCAGUACCAUUGGACUUCAGGUCCAAUUUGUUAAGCAGAGAACCCAGUGCUUGCGCUGCAGUAAUGUAACCCUUAAGCAAAGCAGUUAUUAAUAUAUGCAACACUAUUCUUGUAUUUGGAAUGUGUGUUUGAGGACGUAGGGCUAUAAUCACCGAUGCAAAUAGAGAAAGAAUCCACUCAUCUCUAGUGGAAAAUUUGUCUGUUUCUUGAAUUGGUUCAAACCUCUCCCAUUGGACUGGAAUGUCAGACCAGGAUUCCUUCAGUAGUAAAGAAGUGCUUGAAGAAAGUACACUAUAAGCUUUAUGAAUUAUUAUGUUUUGCCUUUCCACUGAACAGCAUGCAACUGCAAGCUUCAUAAACUUCAUUGUUGCAUCAAUAAGCUCUUUUUCAUGCACCCAAAUGCAGAAAGCCAUGCAAUUUUCAAUUUGGUUCCAUAUAUUGACGACAAAUUGCAACAAAGCCUCCUCGAAACCUUCAUUUUUCUGGAUCCUGAAUCCGUUCAAAUAAAAUUCCUUAUUAACAGGAGACAAGUAUACUAAAGCAUUACCUUAAUCCCCAGUCCCCACCCCCACCUUCCCAAACAAAACCAUAACACACUAGUUUUAGCUCUUACAAGACCAGAUAUAGUUCAUUCUGCCCCACAACCCCCUCUCCCUCAACUAUCUGUCUUAACUUAUGAAGAAAAAGUACAAAUACGAGACAAGAUCGCGGCAAUUGGUUAUUUUUAGAGAUAUUCCAAUCUAGGUCAUCAUAUCAUCAUAUGAAAAAGGACAAUAUGAUGUUUGAAUUACAGAAAGAUUGAUUGGACUAGAACAACAAACCAGAAACACAUUCUGUAGGUGCAACUACACAGAGACUUAAAUAUUUACCACAAACAAAAGAAACUUACAAAUACAGUCAGAACAGUGCAUGAUUGUUAAUGAGGAUCCAACCUCCUUACAUCAAAGGUACCUUCAAUAAUUGAUGCACACAAACAACCAAAAUCUUUAAACAAAUUAAACUGAAACAAAAUUGCUAAUGCAUCAAUGCACAGAAUCAUAUAAUUUCUCCGACUGGUGAACUUCCCAGACAUACAGUGCGGAAGUUGGAAGCUAAUAGACCAUAUGUAGCAGAGAUCAAUGGACAUUUCAAUGCAGGGAUCUAGGAAGAUUUGGUAUAGCUCAACUAGAACUCAUGAGCAGGUAAUAAAAUAGGAAAAUAUCAAGUUGGAUACCAGGGAAGCAACUCAUUAGAAUAACAUUCGAAAAGCUGAAUUAUGAUCUCUGCUGACUUUAGAUGUCCUUCGACAUAAAACUCGGAUAGAUUGGCAUGUAUCGCUUCUUCCAUCCAAAGAACAAUUUUCAGCAUAUAUUUCUGCCCACUUGUACUAAUGCUAGAGAUGGCUGUUUGUUUGAGUGGCCAUGGCAUAUCAUAAUCAGCAGAUGAUGCCAACAAAAUGAUCUUAUCAACAACAAUUUCCAUAUAGCUUGCUUUCUCAAACUCAUUGCUUGCAUGAAUAAAUGAGCCAAUAUAUGCAAGUGCCUUCAACACAUGUUUCCACAACAAUGUCUUGUUGAAAUCCACAGUGAUAAUUGAUAUGAAUGUCAUCAAGAUAUCAUCAAAUGUCAACUUUGAUAAUAGUAAAUAGCCUCCAGGGAAUGUUGCCAAAAUCUGUAAACCCUUCACUCCAAGAUACAUAUCUUCAUCAUGAGUAGGUCCACUAGUACAAGUUGCUAAAAUAGAACUGAAGGUCCUUGUUAAAGAAGUUGAAUAGCAUUGAAGCAAACGGCAACAUGUCUCAUUUGCAGAUAUAAAUUGUGAUGAGAGACUCUCUGAAGCUGCGAACAAAUCUCUACAUGCUCCAAGAAGUUCGGUACAGAGAUAUAAAGAUCCAUAAUUAAAUUGUUUGGAGUUUACACAACUUUCAAUUGAUUGGCAAGCCCCAGAUGUUUUUUCAACUGAAAGCACCAGAACCUCCAUCAGGCGGGGGAAGAAACUUUCAAAAACCCUAUUACAGGACGAAACAGAAGCUUUUGCAGAAACAUAAAGGAUAUGACCAACCAUGUGCAGUUUCUGCUUGCUUUGCAAAGAAAUUUCAUUGUAACUCUUGUAACUAGUGAUGUUGUUGAAAAUCACGUUUACAUCUUCAUCACCAAUAAUCAUGCUUAAGAACAAAUCAUUGUUUUGGACAAUAACCUUCUCCAACAGUGCUAAAGCUUCCACUGCUAUUUCAUUCUUCUGAGAAUCAGAAUUAUCUAUUGGUUCUGAAUUAAAGGAUGGCAUAAGCUCUUCUCCCGAACUAUACAUUGCAUCUUUCAAUGAAGACCAAAUAGCUCCAGCAUGUUUUGCUAUUCUGUCUGCUCCAAAUUUCAAUGUGCAGUAGCUAAGAUACUUCAAAGAAUCAACCUUCGCAGAUGGCAGGGAGGAAGAAAGUUUCUCAAGAAGCAAUGGCACAGCAAAUGGCUCAAAAAGAGGUGUGGAAGAAAAUGCAAGCAUUAAUGCCCUUGAGAGAUCAUCCCUUCUCACAUCAAUAUCCUCAGCUUUUGGAUGGGUAAAAUGAAUGGGAAAGUAACAGCCCAAAAUGCCAAAAAGAUCACUAGCAAAAUUUGAAAUUGGACCACAAGGAUCUGGAAAUAGUUGCAUCAGCACCUCCACAAUGUGAAAUGCUAGCAUUAGACACUGAGGAUCCUUUUCUCCAUCAAUAGCUUCACAGAUUCCAUAAAUAAGGUCCUCACCCAGUGAAGCAGCAGCACCAGGAUAAUGUUCUAGUAGGCAUUCCAGAAGUUCGAAGCAAACCUUCCUGUCAUGCUGUGCUAAAGACUGCACCUGCAAAUUCUGUAAAUAAGACUUAGCAACAGCUUUUGCAUCAAUGCUAGCAACCAUACCGCCACUUUUCCUCCUCAUCAAUGCCAAGCAACCAACAAGUGCACCACGUAAAGCUCUCCAAUCUGCCAGUCGCUCUGUGAAGAAUGUUAUCAAGAUAAGUAUAGUUGCAUUGUCUAGUGGCUUUGAUGAAAGAUGGUUCAGAGCUUCUCCAAGAAGAAGGAUGCCAAUGAUCCUAUAGUUACUGCACCAUUCUUCAAGAGGGAAACAAUUGCAUCCAAACUUUCAGCCAUUCCUCAUUAAACGUAAUAUGUUAUUUCCUACUGGCAGAGUCAGAAUCAUUAGGCUUGCUUUUAGAAAUGCCAUCCCCUUCACUCUUUUUAGAUGUCUUAUCCUUGUCUGAGGAUUCAUCAGAAGCAUCACUUGAUUCUCAAACGCUGUCUUUCUUUCUCUACUUUAUGUGCAUCAAGUGAAAACAAAAUCAAAAUUUAUCAUGAUCCAACUGAUAAUAUAAAUUAAAGAAACAAGCAAGAAUGGCACCUGUGACUGUGAGUCUAUAGCCAUCACCAAUAAUCAACACCACCAGCCUUAAGAAUUCCCGACUGAAUCUUUGUAGCUCUCCAGAGACCUCGAGCUCGACUGAUUCAACCAUCUACACCGGCGGUUGUUUCCAAAAAGGUCUAAUUCAACCAAUAAAUCGUAUUCAUCGGUGAUUGAACCACCUUCACCCAAUGUCUCUUCUAGGGGAAGAAUGAGAUCAAAGAAAGAUCGGAACCAGAGACUAGAAAUCGAGACUGAGAGUAAAUGUAAGAACUAGAAAACAAAAAGAAAAGUGAUCCUUCACGAGAGAGCACACUGCGAAGAACUCAAAAGAUGUAUAGCAAAUACAAUCGUUGUUAGGAAAGAGUGGGAAAGAAGCAUCUAUAGGCACGCUGUGAGGCGGUGGAACGUAUCUAGCUCGCCACGCUCCGGCUCGGCGCCAAUU